CCUGCAGUAAUUACAACAACUAAAUUCAACAGGGCAUAACUGUACUGUUCUUUCCAUCCCAAUUUACUUGAACUACUGCCCUUUACAAGUCAUCCAGGUUUAUUUAACCCAUUUAUCUAGGAAACCAAAGUUUCCACCCCUAAGUUUACUACUUGAAAUCACACUUGCAUUUUCAAGACAUCUUUUUUUUUUUUGAGAAUGGUAAAGUAAGCAUUUUCAAGACAUCUUUAUGACAACUUACACCAUGUACAAUUUUAUCAAGUUAACAAUUACCUCAAAUAUGUCUCACUAUAAAAGUUCUUUGAGCAAGAUGUUUUUUUCUUCUUUUUUUCGCAAUAACAUUCAGAAUAAGG
rnacentral:lncRNA from 1 species